AUGGAGUUGUUUACAGAAUACUUUUAUCUAAACCGGCAGAACGAGUGCACGAACGGUCUUAGCUUAGAGCUUCGAGGCAUAUCAAUUCAGCGCCGGCAGGGUGCCGUCUUCCCCCUCAUUGUCUUACCAAGUCACCCAAAGGACUGGAACCAGACUUGGUUCUACUGCCAGGACACUUCACCAGCAAACGAGAAGCCACAGCCGGGUUAUCGCCCCGAUCGUCUUGAUUCCAAGUUCGCGCUUCCUAAUAAGCUUACCGUUGCUGAACGCAAGAGGUUGAUACCGUCUAUCAAAAGGAUCAAUGCUUUGUUGGGGAACGGGUUAACUGGAGUUGAUCUGACCCGCUGCAGGAUCUCACGGCGGGUCAUCCCUUUGAGCCGCCGGUCAAAGCUGAUGUAUGAGUAUGGUGGAGGCCCAGAUGACUCUCUUCGUCACAACCACGUUCAAUUCACAGAAGAAGAUAUUGUCUCAAUGUCAACUCUUCUGGUGAAUGGGAAAUAUGAAGAUUGCAGUGUCGUCGGGUUAAACCCCUUCUGCCAGCUUAACCCCGUGCCAGAAGCCAACUCUGACUUCUGGAAAGUUAAGUAUGACCACGAGGCUGCCAAGAAAGCGAAAGCCGCCGCCAUAAACGCCAAGAAAACGACCCAGAGGUCGAAAAAGAAGAAAAAGAGCAUUGUUGAAGAUUUGAUGAAGCUUGAUGAUACAUCUGACUCGGAGUCAGGCCGUGGAAGCAGAGCAACAUGA
rnacentral:rRNA from 1 species